AAUCAUCAGUUCUACGAGGUGCUUUCUUCACAAAUGUCAGUGACUGAUUAAACCACAGAAUUAUUGUGCGAAUGAUGAUGUUUCAUGGGCUGUAAUUUCAGGGAACUUCCAUAUUGUACAAAAUUUGUAAAAUUCCAGGAAACUUCCUUCCAGAAAAAGACAAGAAUGUCUCAACUACACAGUCCAUGUAACAGUGGGGUCUCAAUAUAUCUCCUAACACACAGAAUGUCUCUCAGGAACUACAAAAAUUCCUGGCAAAACAAACAUUUUAUUUUAUUUUCUUUUUCCCUGCACAAAAUUUUUCAUUCUACUGAUAUCUCAAAUUUUCCACAGAUUUAACAAAUGCAACAGGCUUCAAUAGUCAUUCCUUAGAUGCCUUUCGUCCAUGUUCAAAUUCCAAUACAUUGUAUACAAGCAGAAGGCACUGAUCCAGAAAAUCAUCGAUGUUUCAUUGUGUUCUGUUCUUGACAGCGAUACAGGAGGAGAUGGACGGAGACUGUCCGGGAGUAAUAAAAAAACACAAUAAAAACUCUUCGGACGAGCAUUCUAAGCUUAAAUUGCCUACACACCUCAUGAGAUAAAGCAAGGUCCACUACUAUUAAUCCACUACUAUUACUCUCUGUCUCAUUAUGCUAGAUUCAAGUUUUUGUUUCACUCCCCAUGUUUCUAGUUUGACUGUUAAUGACUAAUACAAAAUCUCAAUUUCUAA